rnacentral:rRNA from 1 species
CAAUAGCGUAUAUUAAAGUUGUUGCGGUAAAAAAGCUCGUAGUUGGAUUUCUGUUGAGAGCGACCGGUCCAUACCAUGUAUGCGUAUCUGGCUUGCUCUCGGCAUCCUCUCGAUAGACGUUACUGCGCUUGAUUGCGUGGUGCGGAGCUCGGGACUUUUACUUUGAGGAAAUUAGAGUGUUCACGGCAGGCUUUCGCCAGAAUACAUUAGCAUGGAAUAAUACUAUAGGAUCUUGGUUCUAUUUUGUUGGUUUCUAGAAUUGAGAUAAUGAUUAAUAGGGACAAUUGGGGGCAUUCGUAUCAACACGUCAGAGGUGGAAUUCUUGGAUUGUGUUGCGACGAACUACUGCGAAAGCAUUUGCCAAGGAUGUUUUCAUUGA